GGACGAACGCUGGCGGCGUGCCUAAUACAUGCAAGUUGAGCGAUGAAGAUUGGUGCUUGCACCAAUUUGAAGAGCAGCGAACGGGUGAGUAACGCGUGGGGAAUCUGCCUUUGAGCGGGGGACAACAUUUGGAAACGAAUGCUAAUACCGCAUAACAACUUUAAACAUAAGUUUUAAGUUUGAAAGAUGCAAUUGCAUCACUCAAAGAUGAUCCCGCGUUGUAUUAGCUAGUUGGUGAGGUAAAGGCUCACCAAGGCGAUGGUACAUAGCCGACCUGAGAGGGUGAUCGGCCACAUUGGGACUGAGACACGGCCCAAACUCCUACGGGAGGCAGCAGUAGGGAAUCUUCGGCAAUGGACGAAAGUCUGACCGAGCAACGCCGCGUGAGUGAAGAAGGUUUUCGGAUCGUAAAACUCUGUUGGUAGAGAAGAACGUUGGUGAGAGUGGAAAGCUCAUCAAGUGACGGUAACUACCCAGAAAGGGACGGCUAACUACGUG
rnacentral:rRNA from 1 species